AUGCAAGUCGAGGGGUAACGGAAGUAGCUUGCUACUAGACGACGACCGGCGCACGGGUGAGUAACGCGUAUGUAAUCUGCCUUGUACAGAGGGAUAGCCCAGAGAAAUUUGGAUUAAUACCUCAUAGUAUUACUGGAUCGCAUGAUUUGGUAAUUAAAGCUCCGGCGGUACAAGAUGAACAUGCGUGACAUUAGCUAGUUGGUAAGGUAACGGCUUACCAAGGCUACGAUGUCUAGGGGUUCUGAGAGGAUGAUCCCCCACACUGGUACUGAGACACGGACCAGACUCCUACGGGAGGCAGCAGUGAGGAAUAUUGGUCAAUGGACGCAAGUCUGAACCAGCCAUCCCGCGUGAAGGAUGACUGCCCUAUGGGUUGUAAACUUCUUUUAUAUGCAAAUAAACCUACUUUCGUGAAAGUAGCUGAAGGUAGCAUAUGAAUAAACACCGGCUAACUCCGUGCCUGCAGCCGCGGUAAUACGGAGGGUGUAAGCGUUAUCCGGAUUUAUUGGGUUUAAAGGGUACGUAGGCGGUAAUAUAAGUCAGUGGUGAAAUCCUGCAGCUCAACUGUA
rnacentral:rRNA from 1 species